rnacentral:rRNA from 1 species
CCUACGGGGGGCAGCAGUGAGGAAUAUUGGUCAAUGGGCUUACGCCUGAACCAGCCAAGUCGCGUGAGGGAAGACUGCCCUAUGGGUUGUAAACCUCUUUUGUCAGGGAGCAAUUGGCGCUACGUGUAGCGUUAUCGAGAUUACCUGAAGAAAAAGCAUCGGCUAACUCCGUGCCAGCAGCCGCGGUAAUACGGAGGAUGCGGGCGUUAUCCGGAUUUAUUGGGUUUAAAGGGUGCGUAGGCGGAAGGCCAGGUCAGCGGGAAAAUCGCGGGGCUAAACCUCGCUGCGCCGUUGAAACUGGCGGUCUUGAGUAGGCGAGAAGUAUGCGGAAUGCGUGGUGUAGCGGUGAAAUGCAUAGAUAUCACGCAGAACUCCGAUUGCGAAGGCAGCAUACCGGCGCCCAACUGACGCUGAAGCACGAAAGCGUGGGUAUCGAACAGGAUUAGAUACCCCUGUAGUC